rnacentral:rRNA from 1 species
UACGUAGGGUGCAAGCGUUGUCCGGAAUUAUUGGGCGUAAAGAGCUCGUAGGCGGUUUGUCGCGUCUGCUGUGAAAUCCCAGGGCUUAACCCUGGGCCUGCAGUGGGUACGGGCAAACUAGAGUGCGGUAGGGGAGAUCGGAAUUCCUGGUGUAGCGGUGAAAUGCGCAGAUAUCAGGAGGAACACCGGUGGCGAAGGCGGAUCUCUGGGCCGUAACUGACGCUGAGGCGCGAAAGCGUGGGGAGCAAACAGG